UGUCACAGUGAAUAAUGAAAUGACACGCCACAGCCGGACAGCACUGGUCAGCUACCAGGAGCAAGGGGAGAGCAGAUCACAGACCAGUCUCAACGCUACUGAAAUGAACCACCAGGCCCUGAAGCUGAAGGAGGAGGAGUGCGGGCUCUGCCACCGGGCUGACUCUGACCCUGACACCUAUGGGCAGAAAUGCCAGUGGGGUAAGCUGUGUGUGCACG